rnacentral:tRNA from 1 species
GGGGUUGUGGCUCAGUGGUAGAGCUCUUGCCUAGCAUGUGUGAAGCACUGGGUUCCACUCUCAGCACCCCA